rnacentral:rRNA from 1 species
AUUGAACGCUGGCGGCAGGCCUAACACAUGCAAGUCGAGCGGAUGAGGGAAGCUUGCUUCCCGAUUUAGCGGCGGACGGGUGAGUAAUGCCUAGGAAUCUGCCUAUUAGUGGGGGAUAACGUUCCGAAAGGAACGCUAAUACCGCAUACGUCCUACGGGAGAAAGUGGGGGAUCUUCGGACCUCACGCUAAUAGAUGAGCCUAGGUCGGAUUAGCUAGUUGGUGGGGUAACGGCUCACCAAGGCGACGCUCCGUAGCUGGUCUGAGAGGAUGAUGAGCCACACUGGAACUGAGACACGGUCCAGACUCCUACGGGGGGCAGCAGUGGGGAAUAUUGGACAAUGGGCGAAAGCCUGAUCCAGACAUUCCGCGUGGGUGAAGAAGGUCUUCGGAUUGUAAAGCACUUUAAGUUGGGAGGAAGGGUUGUAAGCUAAUAUCUUGCAGCUUUGACGUUACUAACAGAAUAAGCACCGGCUAACUCUGUGCCAGCCGCCGCGGUAAGAC